rnacentral:rRNA from 1 species
AGUGAACGCUGGCGGUAGGCCUAACACAUGCAAGUCGAACGGCAGCACAGUAAGAGCUUGCUCUUACGGGUGGCGAGUGGCGGACGGGUGACGAAUACAUCGGAAUCUACUUUUUCGUGGGGGAUAACGUAGGGAAACUUACGCUACUACCGCAUACGUCCUACGGGUGAAAGCAGUGGAUCUUCGGACCUUUCGCGAUUGAAUGAGCCGAUGUCGGAUUAGCUAGUUGGCGGGGUAAAGGCCCACCAAGGCGACGAUCCGUAGCUGGUCUGAGAGGAUGAUCAGCCACACUGGAACUGAGACACGGUCCAGACUCCUACGGGAGGCAGCAGUGGGGAAUAUUGGACAAUGGGCGCAAGCCUGAUCCAGCCAUACCGCGUGAGUGAAGAAGGCCUUCGGGUUGUAAAGCCCUUUUGUUGGGAAAGAAAAGCAGCAGGUUAAUACCCCGCUGUUCUGACGGUACCCAAAGAAUAAGCACCGGCUAACUUCGUG